rnacentral:rRNA from 1 species
UCGAGAAUCUUCCACAAUGGGCGAAAGCCUGAUGGAGCGACACCGCGUGCAGGAUGAAGGCCUUAGGGUUGUAAACUGCUGUCACGCUAUAGGAACCCGCAAUGGUUAAUAGUCAUUGCGCUGACUAAAGCGAGAGGAAGCGCCGGCUAACUCCGUGCCAGCAGCCGCGGUAAUACGGAGGGCGCAAGCGUUGUUCGGAUUCACUGGGCAUAAAGAGCACGUAGGCGGCUCGCUCAGUCAGGUGUGAAAGCCCACGGCCCAACCGUGGAACUGCAUCUGAUACUGGCGAGCUCGAGGACGGAAGGGGUGAGUGGAACUUCAGGUGGAACGGUGAAAUGUGUAGAUAUCUGAAGGAACACCGGUGGCGAAAGCGGCUCACUGGUCCGUCUCUGACGCUGAGGUGCGAAAGCUAGGGUAGCGAACGGGAUUAGAUACCCCUGUAGUCC